CUGGGGGCUUCCUCUAGGAAGGUCUUGUGGGGAAGUAGAGAACAGCAGUCCCAGACACAAGAAAAGAGGAAGGCAGCAUGUCUAAGUAAAACUUUGUGUUUAAAGACUUGAGGGCCUCUUGUCAAUGGUUACAACUGAGCAUCUGGAAACUGCACUGUAAGACACUACCAGGAAGACUUUGUGAAGUGGGCAACAGAACACGAGGGCGGUCUUUCUCUGGAGUCCAAAUAGCAAGAAAAAAUCAGGAAGAAUAAUCGCAAUGCUUAGUGAGAUUUAUUUGAUAGAGGUCUGGAGGAGCAAGGUCAACACCUAACAACAACUCAAUAAACACAUAUACACAUAUUUCUUAUACAUGUGUAUGUGAGUGAGUGUGU
rnacentral:lncRNA from 1 species